CGGCGCUGACAUGAAGCACUUUGACCCACGACGAUCCAUUCCAUUCAGCCGCUGA
rnacentral:snoRNA from 1 species